ensembl:lncRNA
AUGUCUCAGCAAAGUCACAAGGACAUAACUAUGAAGAUGCUCAUAGCGAGGAAAAGAUCAUUUGUAAGCAGUUCUGCUUUAUGUCAAAGUGCAGCGGGGAAAAGUCACCUAGGUGUCAAGGAAAGAUAUGGGGAUUUCAAGAAAUCAGUGCUCAGCAAGCCAAGCAGGAAACUGCAACCACAACCCAGAAACAAGGCCAAAGCAACAGCAGGUGACAUACAGGUGAUAUAUAUAUAUAUAUAUAUUUAAUUUCUUAAUUAUUUGAGACACAAAGACAGACAGAUACAUACACAGAGAGAGAGAAGAGAGGAGAGGAGAGGAGAGGAGAGGAGAGGAGAGGAGAGGAGAGGAGAGGAGAGGAGAAGAGAAGAAGAGAAGAGAAGAGAAGAGAAGAGAAGAGAAGAGAAGAGAAGAGAAGAGAAGAGAAGAGAAGAGAAGAGAAGAGAAGAGAAGAGAAGAGAAGAGAAGAGAAGAGAAGAGAAAGAGAACGAGAACUCCCAUUUGCUGGUUCACUCCACAAAUACCAGCAACAGCUAGAGUUGGGCCAGGCCAAAGCUGGGAAUGCAGUGUAGAUGUUCCUUGUGGAUGGCUGGACUCAAAUUACUUUAGCUCUCACUGCUGUUUCUCGGAGUCUUCACUAGCAGGAAGCUGGAAUCAGGAACCAGAGCUGGGAAUCGAACCCAGACACUGUGAUGUGGGAUGCAGAUAUCUUAGCUGUGUGGUGAUGUUUAUUUUAAAUGGCUGGUAGUCCAAAAAAAUUAAAUCUUAUGAUGUCUGGCAAGUGGGGGAGAGAGCCCUAGAAAGUCUACCACAUUGUGAGAUUUAGAUGGUAUCCAAGUCAGAACAGGUAUCAGUACUGGACAGGUUGAGUAAAUUGGUACUUAACAACAUUUAUUUCUUUAUGGAAGACAAUCAGAUUGAAAUGGGAGGGCCCAUCAAAAUAGACCAGUAAUUUUAAAGGCAUAGUUUUAAUAAGGACUCCAUAAUGUGCACUUCUGUUUCAAGAUUAAGUUGCCUGAUUUCAUCCUAGUUUCCAGAAGAAAGAUCUGAAAAAGCAUCAAAACAGUAAAUUUUAGAUUUAUCCUGGCCUCCAAGACUCUCAAUGUUCUAGUUCCUAUUUACUUUUCUAGAUUUGUCUAUCAGUUCUACCUACUAGUCCAAAUUGACUAAGCACUAUGUUUUCUUGGUUUUACUUGUAUUUUCUCCUCAUUUUGUAACACCCCUGAGGUCCAAAUGUUUUAUGCCUUUGAAUGGAAUGAAAUAAGGUGACCCUUUUUAAGUAUGCCCUAUUUUUUCUUCCCUCAGAGAUUUGGCUGAAGUUAUUUUCUUUCCUUCUUUUACGUUAUUUGGAAUCCAACCAAUCUCUGCAAACCCCAUUCAAAUCCAAAAUCUCCUAAAAUUCUUCCUGAUCAGUCAUUCCACAGGUUAAUUUACUUUCUUCUGACCCACAGUGGCACCAAAAUCUAGGUUUAUAUAUUCUGUACUUCUGAGUAUCAUCAUUGCAUGCAUCCCAUCUUAUUUGUCUUUCCAGACCAUAAUAAACAUCUGGAGGUCAACA